AUUACGUUAUCGAGGGUUCCUGAAAUUGCACAACAUUUCGCAAUUCUGGCACGCCUAAUCCCCAAGAACGGUCAGAGUAUCCUGGCAACGAUUUUCCCGCAUUCGCUCUGCUCCCUACCGUUUCCAAAUAUAGUAGAACCGUUUUGCAAUGUAUGUAUCCAACGGCGCGACAGGAGGUAAGCUCGAGAUUUUCCAUAAAACUCCUCGUCACACUCUGAUAUCAAUAUCGUUAUCUCCGCUAUUUAUUUUCAUGUCUAAAAAUAAUACUUUUUUGGCGUCAGAUAAUUGCAAAAUGAAAGUGAAACAAAGCAUCUCUUAUUCGUUUCUAAACGUUGAGAGGUAGUAAGAACGAAACAGCGAGAAGAUGGAGGAAAGUCGGGACGGGGCGGCGUUAAACGAGGAAAUCCAGCUUGGUAGGAUAAAUGAGAUGAUUCGACGUGCAACACUAGAGAAGGCAAGGAUAACUUUGCUAGCUAGCUUAGUUGCGGAAGGUACCGCAAAAUAGCACGAAUCCCGGCAUCGUCAGCAACAGGGCAGAGUUUAACAAGGAAAUUGUUAGACGGAGCGUGAUUAACCCCGCCGUUGCGAUAAUAAACGAGCCACGAGCUUCAUAACUCAUCGGUGGCCCAGUCUCUUUCUUCUUUCUUCUUUCUGAUUACGUUCGCGUGUUCUUCCUCGCCUUGUUCAGCCUUUCAGUUUUAACUAACGCUUAAUCAAUGCGUUCCUAAUUCUACGCUAAUAUCAAAAGAUAUUGAAACUUUAUUGAAAAGAAACACGAUCCUAUCGAAUUAAAUUCCAAAGGAAGAACACGCCAAAAUUGAACCGUUGCCACGUAACAAUUUAGUGGAAUUUUCACGCUUCUCGGUUGCGAGGCUGGCCUCGUUUCUAAUCUGCAACAUUACAUGACCACAAUGGGCCAAGAAACACUGUUAUCGUUCACCCAGAGAAGACAAUAGAGUUAAAAAAAGAACUUUAACCGUUGUUAGGUUUAUUUUGCAAACAUCCAUUCAGCGUGACGCGGAAAACUGACGCGUUAUCAUUAGCCUAAAACCAGUUUAAGCAGUGUUUUCUUUCUACGGUCUGUAGACUGUAGACUGUAGACAGAGCGAUGAAAGUAAAGUAAUGUGGCAAGCAAAGCGUAAAGUGUUUCGUAAAGUUAUGAGAAUACGUUUAUCGCGAGAGGGAGCGAAGGUAAGAGGAAUUUCUUGCCGUAAUUAUCGUACGACAUUGCCACGGGCGUCGCACGUGUUUGUCUCUAAAAGCAACCCUACAUUAUAAGUCGAUUCGCUUUCAUUAACGUUUCAUUGCAGAAAUUAUAGCGAAUCGUUAAACCUGGUAACGUUGCAACGUUGCGGGUAUUUUUCUUUUUUUAAUUUAAUGAAUCAUCAAGAUAAUGCUGGAAUAUAUUCAGUGGCGUUUUAAAAACAUUGCGUGUACCAAAAUGUACACAAAAUUGUUAGAGUAAUUGAAUCGAAAAGCCGAUAAUUAAAUUGAGAUUCGAGCAGUUGCUUUUCCCACAGAUCAAACAUAUCAUCUAUCGAUACGAACACGAACGUAAAAUACGAGGCUGAAAGGGAAAUACGACCACCUGAUACCUCUUGACGAAAAACUUUUUUCCGACGAACAAGCGCAAUAAACUUCUAAUUACUUUCGGAUGAACAUCAGCCUACACUCUCGGCGAUGCGCGAACGAACUUCGAAUCUCAUAAAAUACCACGAGAGAACGAACAACGAGGGGAAAUUUCACCUCGAACGAAGUGUUCCAUGCCGUAGUACACACGGACCGUUUUCAUUUCGGUACUUAACGCGUAAAUGACGAAGAUACGAAAACGGAAAGAUUGGCUUAAGUAGAUUCAGCCGUGUCUGGUGAAGAUAAGAACAGCUCAUUUCGCGUUCACUGGCACAGUGAAAACAGACAGCCGUAGUAAGAUGCAUCGAACCACUUGACACUUGUGUGGCAUAAAAAGAGUAAAAACAACUUGAAAUUUUUGCAUCACAAAAUUAUAAAUACAGUUUUAAAAUAAAUAAACUCGAUGCAAGAUAUUUUUAGGUAUUAUUCUGUAACCAAAAAUAAUUCCACAAUACAAAUUUUCUUUAGCUCUUUGGCAUUUUGCCUCGCUAUCCCCAUUUGAACUUCGUGGUAGUCAACACGUUAAAGUUAUCAGAUAAAAACGAGCAUUCUUUCUUCAUUUUAUUGAAAUAAUCGACCAAGUGGUAUCAACAAUUCAGAACAUUUUAA